GACGUAGGGCGCGAGCGUUGUCCGGAAUUAUUGGGCGUAAAGAGCUCGUAGGCGGCCACUCAAGUCGAAUGUGAAACCUCGAGGCUUAACCUCGAGCCUGCAUUCGAUACUGGGCGGCUAGAGUCUGGUAGGGGGGAUCUGGAAUUCCUGGUGUAGCGGUGGAAUGCGCAGAUAUCAGGAGGAACACCGGUGGCGAAGGCGGGAUCCUGGGCCAGUACUGACGCUGAGGAGCGAAAGCGUGGGGAGCAAACAGG
rnacentral:rRNA from 1 species